UUCAUUAUGAAUCCAUAGUAAUGAAAGGCAAACCGGGAGAACUGAAACAUCUAAGUACCCCGAGGAAAAGAAAUCAACCGAGAUUUUGUAAGUAGCGGCGAGCGAAAGCGAAAGAGCCAGUGAGUGAUAACAGCAAAGACAGAAGAAUUGGCUGGGAAGCCAAGCGACACAGGGUGAUAGCCCCGUAUUCGAAGUUUUUGUUGUGGU
rnacentral:rRNA from 1 species